AGUGUCUCUUCUGUCUGCUACUAUCCAGCCUUCCCUGUAUAGGUGAUACCAAGCCUCCCUAUACACAUGUGUGCAUCACUGUAUAGGUGAUACCAAGCCUCCCUAUACACAUGUGUGCAUCACUGUAUAGGUGAUAGCAAGCCUCCCUAUACACAUGUGUGCAUCACUGUAUAGGUG